rnacentral:misc_RNA from 1 species
UACGAACGGCCCGAGCGUUGCGCGGAAUCACUGGGCUUAAAGGGUGCGUAGGCGGAAAGGUUAGUGUCUUGUGAAAGCCCACGGCUCAACCGUGGAAUUGCAGGGCAUACUGCCUUUCUUGAGGCUGGUAAGCGCCGCCGGAACUGUAGGUGUAGCGGUGAAAUGCGUAGAUAUCUACAGGAACGCCGAUGGUGAAGACGGGCGGCUAGGCCAGUUCUGACGCUGAGGCACGAAAGCGUGGGUAGCAAACAGG